AGUGAACGCUGGCGGUAGGCCUAACACAUGCAAGUCGAACGGCAGCACAGUAAGAGCUUGCUCUUACGGGUGGCGAGUGGCGGACGGGUGAGGAAUACAUCGGAAUCUACUUUUUCGUGGGGGAUAACGUAGGGAAACUUACGCUAAUACCGCAUACGACCUACGGGUGAAAGCAGGGGAUCUUCGGACCUUGCGCGAUUGAAUGAGCCGAUGUCGGAUUAGCUAGUUGGCGGGGUAAAGGCCCACCAAGGCGACGAUCCGUAGCUGGUCUGAGAGGAUGAUCAGCCACACUGGAACUGAGACACGGUCCAGACUCCUACGGGAGGCAGCAGUGGGGAAUAUUGGACAAUGGGCGCAAGCCUGAUCCAGCCAGUCCGCGUGGGUGAAGAAGGCCUUCGGGUUGUAAAGCCCUUUUGUUGGGAAAGAAAAGCAGCAGGUUAAUACCCCGCUGUUCUGACGGUACCCAAAGAAUAAGCACCGGCUAACUUCGUG
rnacentral:rRNA from 1 species